rnacentral:rRNA from 1 species
UACGUAGGGUGCGAGCGUUAAUCGGAAUUACUGGGCGUAAAGCGUGCGCAGGCGGUUUUGUAAGCCAGAUGUGAAAAUCCCCGGGCUCAACCUGGGAAUGGCAUUUGGGACUGCAAGGCUCGAGUGCGGCAGAGGAGACUGGAAUUCCUGGUGUAGCAGUGAAAUGCGUAGAUAUCAGGAGGAAUACCGAUGGCGAAGGCAGGUCUCUGGGCUGACACUGACGCUCAUGCACGAAGCGUGGGAGCAACAGG